rnacentral:lncRNA from 1 species
UGGGAUUGGAUCCCUUAAAAUCUGAAAAGUAUAAAAGGUGAAUAAAGGCUCGUUCACCUAUUAUGUGAUAUCUUGAAAAGAUGCAUCAAUAAGAUGAUCGCAUGUACAUUCAUUGUCAACCUGCAAUUUGACAUUCAUCAAAUUUCUUACUCAAUAAAAUUGAUUUAAAAGCAUAACUUUUAGAUUGGGAAAUAAAUACAAUCUUGAUGAUGAUUGUUUGGCAUUGAAUA